UGUGGCUCAGUGGUAGAGUGCUUGCCUAGCAAGCAUGACGCCCUGGGUUCGAUUCCUCAGUA
rnacentral:tRNA from 1 species